rnacentral:rRNA from 1 species
GUCUACCGCCAUACCACCCUGAACACACCCAAUCUUGUCUGAUCUCGGAAGCUAAGCAGCAUCGGGCCUGGUUAGUACUUGGAUGGGAGAAGGAGAGGAGGAUUUCUGGUUGGCU